GUUAUGAGCAAGUCUCGUGACGAGCGGGUGGCUCGCUUUCUCAACAGCGGCUCAGAUUAAGGUGCGGGCAGGCGGUUGUAGAUAUCGCUCGCCUAUUAACCCAUGUUUACCCGUCAGUUCGGGUACAGGUCCCAAGGCUCUUUCCGUGACGUGUGACUGAGUGUGAGGCGCAGACGACACGUUAGCGGACAUGACAUGACAAUAUGGUGGGCUUCACGCGCAGUGUCCUCAUGUUUGCGUUAUUCGGGUGCUCUGCCAUCCACCCGACAGAAAGCACAUCUACAGCUACAAUAAGACACCAUGGCUCUUCAAUUAUAUCAACAGAAUCUUACGUCGACAGUUUGACAGUAAAACAAACAGAGACAUUAUCAAACCCCGCGAGUGAAUCAGUGAAAGAAACAGAGACUGUAUCUCGUCCUACAAGUGCUUCUAUAAAACUAACAGAAACUAUAUCUAACUCUGCAAGUGCUUCUAUAAAACACACAGAAAUUAUAUCUAGUCCCGCAAGUACUUCAAUUAUACAAACAGAAACUAUACCUAGUCCCGCAAGUACUUCAAGUAUACAAACAGAAACUGCAUCUAACCCUGCAAGUGCUUCUAUAAAACAAACAGAAACUAUAUCUAGUCCCGCAAGUACUUCAAGUACACAAACAGAAAAUGCAUCUAACCCUGCAAGUGCUUCUAUAAAACAAACAGGAGCUUUAUCUAACCUUGCGAGUGAAUCAAUUAAAGAAACCGAGAUCUUAUCUCGUCCCGCAAGCGCUUCUAUAAGACCAACAGCAGCUAUGUUUAGUCCCGCAAGCGCUUCAAUAACACCUACAGAAACUAUAUUUAGCACCGCAAGUGCUUCAAUAAAACCAACAGCAACUAUAUCUUCCCCUACAGGUUCAUCCAGCACAUCAACAGAAACAUCUGACACUGGCAGUUCACCACUGAACACAUCUUCCCUAGAGCUCACAGGAACAGCAUCCGCCUCCAAAGGAGCAAUUGUAGAUCUAGCUACAUCAAGCCUCAAUAGCUCAUCACCAGACACAACAGUACCAAACCCGAUCACUGAUACACUUUCACCCGAACUAACAUCUUCCACUGCAAGCUCAUUACUCGAACCAACGCCAACGUCUUCCCCUGAUAGCUUUUCACUCGAACCAACGCCAACGUCUUCUCCUGAUAGCUUAUCACUCGAACCAGCGUCAUCAACGUCUUCCCCUGAUAGCUUAUCACUCGAACCAACGCCAACGUCUUCCCCUGAAAGCUUAUCACUCGAACCAGCGUCAUCAACGUCUUCCCCUGAUAGCUUAUCACUCGAACCAGCGUCAUCAACGUCUUCCCCUGAUAGCUUAUCACUCGAACCAACGCCAACGUCUUCCCCUGAUAGCUUAUCACUCGAACCAACGCCAGCGUCUUCUGAUAGCUUAUCACUCGAACCAGCGUCAUCAACGUCUUCCCCUGAUAGCUUAUCACUCGAACCAGCGUCAUCAACGUCUUCCCCUGAUAGCUUAUCACUCGAACCAGCGCCAUCAACGUCUUCCCCUGAUAGCUUAUCACUCGAACCAGCGUCAUCAACGUCUUCCCCUGAUAGCUUAUCACUCGAACCAGCGCCAACAACGUCUUCCCCUGAUAGCUUAUCACUCGAACCAGCGCCAACAACAUCCUCCUCCUUCAGCUCAUCGAUGGUACCAACAGUGCCACCCCCACGGCCUGGUAGUUCCACAGUCCACCCAGAGGACCAGAAGUCGGACAAGGGGUCCGGAGCUAGGGUGGCUGCCGGGGUGUGUGUCAGCAUAAUCUUGGUCCUGGCUGUUGUGGCGGGCAUCUUCUACUACAGACGGUGCUACCAUGCCAGACGUUGGAUUCCUGGGGCGGUGUCCUUCCAGCAUAUGCCAUUCACCAAAAAAGGCUACCAGGAUGACGAGGGAACCCUGAUUCUACCCAACAUGAAAUAAAAAGGCUGGGGUCAUUUUUGCGUUGAUGAAAGCACCAUUAAGGACACAUUGCGUUACCCGCUCGAAUGCUCGUCCGUGAAUGUGUACACUGAAUUUCUAACUGUGAUAUAUAAUUAUGUACAUCGAGUUGCCAUGGACGACGUCACCAGAGCAUCGUGGUAUUCCCAGCAUCCCCUGCGCACAGGAGAACAUCCGGGUCACCCAAAGUGACCAGAACAUCCGGGUACUUGAUGCAGAUUCACCGGGGAAGUUUUCGUCCAUUCACGCAGAUAACGUCAACACACACGUAGUCUCCGUGUUGAACGAGAAGAUAUGGCAUAUAUGUACGCAGGAGCUUUGAUCACCUGUGCCAUGCCCAAAUAUUGUAUCUGGACAUUUAAUCUAUUCUUGUGUUAAUAUAUUUUGAUAUCGUAACAUAUAAGCACGGAAAGAAACAGUACCGUCUAAUGACUAUGAACAUGAUAUUGUCAUGCUUAUAUCUAUAGCAAUGUGAGAUAUUUUACGUGAUGGGUAUAUCAACUUAUUCUCCUGAGUUCAACGCCCUCAACCUCAAUAUAAUUCUGCUGUUUCGGUUGUUUUAAAUGACCUCCAUAUAUUGCUACUGUUUCAGGAGGUUAUUAAAUGACCUCCAUAUAUUGCUGCCGUUACGGGAGGUUGUUAAAUGACCUCCACAUAUUGCUACUGUGUAUUGAGGUUGUUAAAUGACCUCCACAUAUUGUAACUGUUUCUGGAGGUUGUUAAAUGACCUCCACAUAUUGCUACUGUUACGGGAGGUUGUUAAAUGACCUCCAUAUAUUGCUACUGUUUAUGGAGGUUGUUAAAUGACCUCCACAUAUUGCUACUGUUUCUGGAGGUUGUUAAAUGACCUCCAUACAUUGCUGCUGUUGCUGGAGGUUGUUAAAUGACCUCCACAUAUUGCUACUGUUUCUGGAGGUUGUUAAAUGACCUCCAUACAUUGCUACUGUUUCUGGAGCUUGUUAAAUGACCUCCAUAUAUUGCUACUAUUUCUGGAGGUUGUUAAAUGACCUCCAUAUAUUGCUUCUGUUGCGGGAGGUUGUUAAAUGACCUCCACAUAUUGCUACUGUUUCUGGAGCUUGUUAAAUGACCUCCAUAUAUUGCUGCUGUUUCUGGAGGUUGUUAAAUGACCUCCAUAUAUUGCUACUGUUUCUGGAGGUUGUUAAAUGACCUCCACAUAUUGCUACUGUAAUGGGAGGUUGUAAAUGACCUCCAUAUAUUGCUGCUGUUUCUGGAGGUUGUUAAAUGACCUCAAAAUAUUGCUUCUGUUACGGGAGGUUGUUAAAUGACCUCCACAUAUUGCUACUGUUAAGGGAGGUUGUUUUAAAUUACCUCAGAAGUCAAGACUCUUCACUGGACGUUUUUAAAUGACGCUAAUGAAGGCCAAUGUUACGACCACGACAACGACAUCUGCAGCAGCAGUAUACACAACGUCGUGGUCGGCGGGACAGUGUGUACAGACAUAUUGAGGGAUGUUUUAUUUUCCAUUGAAAUGUAUAGCCUUUACGAGAAGUGGAUAUAUGGAUAAAAUGGAUAAAAGUUGA
rnacentral:misc_RNA from 1 species